GCCGGCAGCUAGCUCUCUGCAACUCUCACAUAGUCGCCCACUGAAGCUAAGCAGGGCUGCGCCCGGUCGGUACCUGGAUGGGAGACCACAUGGGAAAGCUAGGAUGCUGCCGGAA
rnacentral:rRNA from 1 species